CGAAGCGACGAUUAUAAACAAACAUGGCUCGUAGUUUACUCUGCAGGGCUGUCGGUGUGUUUCAGCUCAGCGGGACUCGUUUCUACUCUCCGACUGAACCGGAGCCGCUGACGGUGAGACAGCAAAGCAACGGAAUAAGAUCUUCUCCUGUACCUUGCCGAAGCUGCCCUUCCCGAGCAUCUUGUGCAGGACGAAGUCAUCGACGGUGAACUUGGGAUGGUGAUCCUUCUUGGGAACGGCGUACAGAGGCUCUUUGUCCGACCGCGCCUCAGGGAUCGACCCGUCAGCCGGCCCGUCCCAUGAAACGCCCUGCAGCUCUGCAGGUGUAGCUGCUGCAGCCGUGACUAACCCGGACGGCUCUCGGACGACUCCCUGCUGGCCGACGCCUACUGGACCUUCUCGACUGAUGAUCUCACUGUCCGUGUCUCUGGUGCUUCUGGCCUGAAGGCAAACGGUAGGACUGAAGUUUAUCUUGUUAACCGUUCAAAAGUCGAAAUUUCGGUGCAAAAAGCCUCUGAAAAAAUAAAUUUACACCAUCUUCAAACACUUAAAACACCCCUUAAAACUGUCUUUGUGGUUGGACCAGUAACACCAUGCUAAUAAAAAAUACUUUAGGUCUCUUAGCAACUCCUGAAAAUGUUCACAUUUAAAACAAUAUUAAAGAACAGAGGAUUUAUUUGUCCGACCUGCUGUUUGCUCUCGAUGAUUGCCAGAGCUUCAGCCAUCAGCUUCUGGUUGACCCCACAGAGGUUGGCUACUUUCUUCUGGCAUUUGUGAUGGACGUUCAUGCUGCAUUCUGCACAGGAAACUCAGCGUUAUCAUUCCGGUGGACACGUCAGUGAUUGUACCUCCACAUGUUCUCAUGCGUGCGCUGCUACAACGCUUUUAAAGCGGACGUUAAGAUGUGUUUCUGCAAGUUUGACAGUUUGACAGAUUCUUUCUCGUGUUGUAUUUUCUCUAACGAUAGAAGCUGUUGUGUUCCAGACAGAUGGUAGAGACCUGUGAGGCAAAUUUGUGAUUCAGUGUAAUAUGAGUAGAACACCGGCACAUAUACGCUUGAGCAUAUAAACAAUCUUAUUGCAUAGUCUGCCUUACAACUGUGACACACUGUACGUAUAAUUUAUAUUGGUAUAUAUAGUGUCAUCAGUUAACACAACGCAACUAGGUGUGUACGAGGUGUCGGGCCAAUCCUCACAAAACCAGUUUCUCAACACAAGAUGCAUGAAAACCACAUAAAUCAUAAAACUCCCGCCUCUCACCCUCACAUUUGAGCCCCUGCUUGGCGAGCCCCCACAGCAGAGUCCCGCAGUGUUCACAGAACGUGGGACUUUUGUAGUUGUAGACCUUAAACCUGUGGGGCAUGUCGAUCUUGAAGCGCUCCUUGUGGAUCUGCAGCACAAACAUCACAUCAGACAGAUUCAUCUCGGAUACAGACGAAGCCAAAAGCAGCAGCAGAAUCACUUCCUGUAUCCAAACAGUGGGUGGCAGGUUUGUCCUUUUCUAUUCUAUUCUGCGUACUACAACAUGAGGCUUUGUAUUCUCUGUUGGUUUCAUGCACAUGAACUCAGCCGGGAUGAUGUGGCCGACGAGGAAGUGAGAAGAUGAAAGCAGCAAACAAGACGAGACAAGAAUGUCUGGUGUCGCGAUCCCUUACUACCUGACUAGUAAGCGUUUAUAACCACGAGUUUACAAAUCUCGUACACAUCCAAUAGUAAUGACGCAUAAGGGCAUUUCUGUGGAACAACCCGUGUCUGUGAGGCAGGAACUCGCCAUUGUCUCUUUGCUGUUGAUGGCUGAACCCGUGCAUUUAGCGAUGACUUUGUCGAUGCAUUUUUUGUGAAUCGCUGCGUUGCACUCUAGAAGACACAAAGGUGACAGAGUCAGACACGAGCAGGCAGACGGGCAGAGAAGACAUCAGUCAGUGGAAACAUAACGUCACACUCACCUCUGCACUGGUAGCCCUGCUUGUUCAGACCCCUGCAGUGAAUAAAAACAGGUUAAAAUGACUAAUGUGAGGAUGCAGAAAACGAUCAUUUGUGUAGUUGAUAUCUGAGUUCGUUGCGCACCAGACGAACUCUUUGCAGACGGAGCAGAAGGUCGGUUGAGGGAAGAACGUGGCGCUGAACUCGUGGCAUUUGACAACGUGGACUUUGGCCUGUUUGAUGGCACCUCGCCGCUGAUGGAGGGCGAACAGACCCUCCCUCUCUGGUUCGGACUCUUGGUCUCCUUCGCUCUGACCCGCAGCGUCUGAAACACAUCGGGCGGUUUUUAGUUAGAGAAGAAAAGACUUCUUGUUGCUCUGGACGACCUGAGCUCAGCCAUGAAGACGUUUCACACCUUGAUUUAGAUUCCUACGUCAGAGUUUCACUUUGUCUAAACCACCUCUUAAGUAUGAGUCAGUCUUCUCUGUUGAAGCCAUGUUUUGUGAUCUUAUUUUUGCAGUUUAACAUAAAAGAACUUGCCUAGUGUCAUGUGACAUGACAUGAAGCUGAGAUGAAAUGAGAAAUGCCUUUUCAACCCUUUUAGAUUGUCCUACUGUGCACAUAAUAGUUCUAUGUUUUACUUUGUUUAUCUUUGUGUAGAUUUGUUUUCCUACGCGUCCAAUAAAGCUGAUUCUCAUAAUUAUUGAUUUCAUUUUUCUCAGAUUCUGUCAUUUUCUAGCCUUUUUAUUAUAUUAUUAUUAUUUCAUAUGAAAGACUUCAACAUUUCUGGGGAGAUUGAUUCCAGGAAUAGAAAGCAAAAAAGCUUAAUAUCUAUUUAGAAAGAUGUCUGCAUGCUGCUGAAUCAUAACGCAGUGGGUGAAUAUUUGGCUGCCCACAUGAAUAUACAAUAUACGAUGUAUUAUGUGUUUGGUACAGAUUGAAUGCCGCUCUGGAGGACGUUCCACAGAGCAAAUUGCCGCAGUGUGCCGGUUGCUGUGCCACCUGUUGUUCUGAGCAACGAUUUCCUAUUUACUGGCUCUAUAAAUAGAAACAUGAGACAGCUUCUUCCUUUUAGUUCGGAGUGACUUCUUAGGCCUCGGUAUGGUGUUAAUGUCAGGAAAGCACCCGGGAAAGGGAUCUCUCUCACACACACACACACACACACACACACACACACACACACACACGAGGACCUGCAGAGACUCCACGUUCUUAUUUAUAGUUUGAGAAAAUGUAAUUAGUCUGAGGGGGAUUAAAACUCUCACACGAGAGUUUUGAAGGACUAUACAGACAAUAUCAAAACCCUUUGUGCUGCAGUAUAUCAUAGUUAUUAUAGUCUGAUUCAUGGGAUGUCGACUUUUGAUACAAGUCCGCCAUUGACCGCGUAUCUCACGUUCCUACAUCUUUAGCUUAGCGCCGCCCAAGAAGGUUGUGAUUGGUUUAAAGAAAUACAAACGAGCGUCUUUUCCUCUACAGCAGAAUAACGUGUGGAGCCAGGACUUUCUGUCAAGAUGUGUACAGCUGGGCAAGACUGUAGUUGUUAUAAGUGAUGGUAAAGGGCAGCAGCUGGAGGUAUAAAGCUUUGAACCACUCACCACUUUUCUCCAGAUAGUAUUUGGCCUCCAUCAGCAGGCGUCCCUGUGGCUUCAGCUCCAGCUGACACAAAGAGAAACAGAAACAGAAGCAGCACUUUAGGACCGAAAUUCACGAGAAAGACAUUGGGAAUGAAAAGGGAAGGAUUCAGGAUGAUGACGCGUGAACUGAAUAAGAGAAUGAUGUUUGAGAUGUUUGAGACAGCGGACCAGACUGUGGAGGAAAUUCAGAAUAUAUUUGAUUUGAUUCGAUUCGUCCGUUUUACUUUGUUUUGUUUGAUUUCUUAGUUUGGAAUGAGAGACAGUUGGCGUGAAUCCUCUGGUGUCACUCAAAGCAAAGUCUUUCCAGGGAAAGGAAUUAUCUGGUGCACGAGAAGUGAUCUGUGUCUAGUUUCUGACUAAAAAUAAAUUGAGGAAGAUCCGGGUAAUGAGCAUGAGCAGAGAUGGCCUCCAAAUCCUGGAUUUAAUGAAGAAGUAACUCGGGCUGAAGUGGGAGAGAAUAGAUGUGAAACUCAACCUCUGUAAGGGGGUCAGGGGGCCCUCCACCUCCAAAUUUGGGGCAUUGUUUUCCUUAUUAGAUGGUGUACGAUGGAGAGAUGACAAGAAGUGAGGGUUGAGACUGAGGCAGGGGGAACAAAGUCUAAUGGUGAGUCUUAAGCCCUGAGGACAACGUUUCUUUACUAUUUUAAAGGAAUAUUUCACCCCAAAACAACCAAUUACCAUGUUGAAUAUGAGCUAAACUAUAUCAAAACAUCCGUUUACCAACGCUCACACAUUUCGUGCAGUAUUAUCCAAGAAAUACGUUAAAACCAUACGUUUUGAAGGUCUGAUAAUUACUCUUAUGACAUUUUUUUUGGUCCGUCAGCACCAACACCAACACAACCGUCCCGCUGCACUCACCCAGAUCUCCAGCUUGCCGUUCUCCUUCUUGCAUCGCGUUGCCAGCAAGUCCAGAGCCACCGUGGACUCUGACUUCAGCUCGGCCGUCCGGUCCUUCACCAUCACGUGCAUGAUGCGUCCGCGGUGGACGUGGGCAUCGAACGUGGUGUUCCAUGGCGGGUACAUGGUGGGCUUCUUCUGCUUGUACACUUGGCCCGUUUCUGGGAAAAAAACAACAAAAAGCAAGAUAAAAGAAAGUACUAUUUUUUACUUUGAGCUUUUUCUUGGCAGCAUACGGGAAAUAAGAUCAAAAGGAAGCUGCGCUGGGUGAUUUUCACUUUGACUUUCACUUCAAUACCUACGUAGAAAUCCUCUGCGUCAGCAAAAGAAAUGUGUUCUCGUUACUGGCAGGCUACAAGUUAUGACGAGAUGAAACCAUCACGAGAGUCAGAUAUAUUUCUGUGUAUGUUCUGUAUAUAUCUAUAAAACUGAUAUUACAAAGAACUGGAGGAAGGAAGCGCCAACGACUGACAAUCGUUGAUGAAAUCUUCUUCAUGGAAAAACUGACACAAUUAUGGACAUUACACAAGACUCAAAAUGAUCCACUAGAGCACUAAAUGUGUAUUAAUCCGCCACUGCAAAUAGUCCCUAACACAUGCGCUUUUUACUUCAGUUUAAGUAGCGUCUUCUAGUCUGGGAAAAACGUAUAGUGAGUCACUCUCAGGGGAUUGGAUGCUCUUCUGCGGUCCAGAGCUGUCAUUUACAGCUGAAAUCUGUGACUUUUAUUACAUUAAAAUGUGUUUUUCUUAUGUUGAAGAUGUCAUAACUUCACAGUCAUAUUCUCCUCCGCUGCCAUUGGUAAUAAUAUUCCAUCUUUCACUACCUGGCCAGCAGAUUGUUCUGAUCAUCGCCUCACAGUGUCCAGAGAUUUUCUAUCGCAUCACAUGGAUAGAAAAAUUGACAUCUGCGGAUUUUCCUCUGUAGAAACAUCCCAUGUCCACUUGCAUAACAGCCACAUGCCACCGUGCUGCCUCCACAAUAAAGCCCGCUAAGCUUCUUUUUCUCUUGUCACAAAGUGAUCUGCGGGCCUUCAUCAUCGGCUCAUCGCCGGUCCGUUCACAGGCUCUGCCAGCUGCUGUCUGUGCCGAUUAAAGCACCCAGAGAGGAAAAUAUGUCUGCUUUCUCCCCAGACACAGAGGCUACACUUUUCAAAGAGAGAGAGAGAGAGAGAGAGCGAGAGAGCGAGCAAGAGAGGUGUCACUUUUGGUGUCAGCCAGUUCCUGCGUUAUUUUGUGAAGGUGGCAUCAAGACUCAAGUGUGCGCUCAUGCAGCAUCUUCCUCUUUUUAACUGUAGGCGUGUUAUCAAAUAUCUUAAAUUGGAGUUUGUUUGAGUUGUUUAAAAUUCAAAGUUAUUGCUUCGUCCUUUCGAACCAGCUCAGGUAUACAAACACACCACAGCUGGAGCUCCUCCUGAUCCGCUGAAUCCGCACUAAACUCAAAUCUACAGAAAGUCUAUUGGCAGCGUUUGCAGCUCGAGCAGCUUGACUCAGCGUGCAGGUUUGCCUUAUUACAAUCUAAAUGUGGAAGUUUACUAAGAAUGGCCCACUGUUUGACUCCGGCAGCAAGCGGUCCAACGAGUUUUUCCAUUAACACGGAGGAGGGGGGGGGUAUUUCAUGUCAGGCAAACAAAAGAAGGAAAUAUCAGUUACUCACGUAACUACAGACAAACAGGGCACAUUUUUUGUUUCUUUCAGAUACGUUCACUUAAAAAGGCUCGGCACAUUUUUCUUACUGUCGUCAAACCAAAAGAAACCAACAAUGAAUGUAUCCACUAACAAGUGUUGAUGCUAUGACAGAUCUUCUUCCUCUGUGCCAUCCAUUAAAAACACAUGAAUGAGCUGCUCUGCUGCCACAAAUACUCAC